AAUAUAUCCUAUCAGCUUAUAUGAACAAAAGUGUUCAUUUUUGUGAGAGUAAUUUUUAAUAAAAUGUCAAUAAAUUAUCAAGAAUUAACUUCGCCCAUGGAUAAAAGAAAGGAAUAAAUCAAGGAAAUUGAAACGACAAAUGUGAAACGACAAAUGUGAAACCAAGAAUUGAGAAGAUUGUAAAUUUAUCAGUUAAAGAUGUAUCUAUGGAUAUGGUUACAUAUGUAUUUGCAUGGUUUAAUAAAAAUGACAUUGGCAAAGAA